UCUAACUCAAUGUGCACCAUGGCCAAUGAUGUAGUUUCUACUACAUGAUUUGACCAAUGUGUCCCUGUUAUGAAAGGUGAUCCGGUACUGGUGAUGACCUUGUGUUAUUGAGUUUACAGGCUGAUUAUUGAUGCCCGAGGACUGAGCUGUUCGUUUCUUAACAUGCCCUUUAAUUCCAUGCCCAUUAUGUGCUUCUUGUCUGUGUGUGAACCAGCGAAGUUUCAAUUACAGGAAAUCAAAAGAGGGGAGUAUAUAUUUUCAUGUCUCGAUGGAUUCGCAGGGAUUUACUCUGUUGCCAUGUUCGCUAUGGUCAGAGCUGGAGAUUGUUGUGAUCAAACAAGAAGGGAAUCUGUGGUAAAUCUACAGAACUCAAAGAUUUUGUGCAUCUGAUUAAAGCGGAAAGAAACCAAUAAUAGCAUCAAGUACGAAGAAAACUCAUACCAGCAUCAUGGAAGGAGUCACAUUUUACAAUAAAAAGUACAGCUUUAACCUAACAGUACAGGAAUCUUGGUUGAAAAGAUUCAGUUUGUGCCAAGGAUGACAUGAACACAAAAGAACUAAGAAAACUCAGAAGAAAGGCAUAACCUUCCCUUUGCCACGAUGACUUGCCCUGUGUCCCCUUGCAUCCAGUGAAGGAAGAAGAGGGUAGUUACAUUAUCCAACACCUGAGAUUCUUAGCACCAUCUUCUUCCUCUUCUUUCUCGACAUGGUCUGGUGCUGGAUCGAAACCAAUUAGUUCAGACAGAAAGAAACCCGAGGACUUUGGAUUUUGCCUUGGUUCGGUCUAUCUAACAAUCCCACUAUAUAAGCCUCUUGGACCCGAGAAACAACAGUGAAAGUAAACACACUUAAAUCUUUCUUUAAUCCAUACUUUACCUAAAUUUCCGAACACAAAACCAAAGAGAACAGAUCAACAAAGAAAAUUAAAACUUGAAAAACUGGUCCCACGAGGCAUCAUUAUGUAAAUGAGACAUGCUUAUCCCACUAAGGACCAUGUGAUUAUUCUUCUUUUAUGUAGAUUACACUGCUCUUUCAAUUGGGCGAGGGAUUCCAAGUGGAGAAAAGACAGAGAGAUGGAUAAUAAUUGAAGAGUGCCAGAGAAAAAGUUAGAAGACAGGUGUAGGGCUAACACAUCAACGAAGAAAGAAAAUUGUAAACAAUUGAAAGGUAGUUAAAGUUGUUCAUGGCAACAAAAUAGAUAAUAUACCUCUGCUUUUUACAAGGAAGAAGGGCUUUGCACCGUCCACUUAUUACCCCACUUUUGUAUUUGGAUGUGAGAAUCUGUGCGUCAAAUAGCACUAAUCCGUGUCCAGUUGGAGAAGCUUUGAAGCUAAAUGUGGAAAGACUGUGCAUGGAGAAUAGUCAAAAAAGACAAAAGCUAUUAUUGAUGAGAAGUGGUAAUGAGUGACGAUACAUGUUUCUUCUCUUUGCCCCUUCCAAACAAUCGACAGCACCCUUGGAUUGUGGAGAGCAUGGAUAAGCUCUUCUUUUUAUGUACAAGUAAGAUGGCCUUUUCUGCAACUUACACCUUCAUUUUCCCCUUUCAACUUGUGACUUGCAGUGCAGACAAAUGAAAAAAUAUUAUGAUAAUACUGAAAUGGAAAGAUUUCUGCUGCAUAUAUGUAAAUAACA
rnacentral:lncRNA from 1 species